GACGAACGCUGGCGGCGUGCUUAACACAUGCAAGUCGAACGGUAAGGCCCUUCGGGUACACGAGUGGCGGAACGGGUGAGUAACACGUGGGUGAUCUGCCCUGCACUUCGGGAUAAGCCUGGGAAACUGGGUCUAAUACCGGAUAGGACCAUGGACUUCACGGUUUGUGGUAGGAAAGCUUUUGCGGUGUGGGAUGGGCCCGCGGCCUAUCAGCUUGUUGGUGGGGUAAUGGCCUACAAGGCGACGACGGGUAGCCGGCCUGAGAGGGUGUCCGGCCACACUGGGACUGAGAUACGGCCCAGACUCCUACGGGAGGCAGCAGUGGGGAAUAUUGCACAAUGGGCGCAAGCCUGAUGCAGCGACGCCGCGUGAGGGAUGACGGCCUU
rnacentral:rRNA from 1 species